AUAUAAGCAAAAUUGACUUUUUAGGUUCAUUCAAUUAAUGAUGUAUGUGGUCUAUAAUAUAUGGACCACAUACAUCAUUAAUUGAAUGAACCUAAAAAAUCAAUUUUGCUUAUAU
rfam:Medicago truncatula strain A17 chromosome 3, whole genome shotgun sequence.